rnacentral:rRNA from 1 species
GUGCCAGCAGCCGCGGUAAUACGUAGGGUGCAAGCGUUGUCCGGAAUUAUUGGGCGUAAAGAGCUCGUAGGCGGUCUGUCGCGUCGGUUGUGAAAUCCCGAGGCUCAACCUCGGGUCUGCAGUCGAUACGGGCAAACUAGAGUGUUGCAGGGGAGACUGGAAUUCCUGGUGUAGCGGUGAAAUGCGCAGAUAUCAGGAGGAACACCGGUGGCGAAGGCGGGUCUCUGGGCAACAACUGACGCUGAGGAGCGAAAGCGUGGGGAGCGAACAGGAUUAGAUACCCUGGUAGUCC